CCACUUGCUUUUCAUUCGAAAAUCGAAAGGGUUUACAUAUGAUCUGAAGUACUAAAGUGCAAAUUGAUGAUGUUCAUUUCUCCUGUCACCAGGCGCCAAUGGUAACUGCACAGUACUCACCCGGAACAUAGCAACUCUUCCAGGCAUCACUUUGUCCUCCAGUCCUGAUAAAGAAGCUGUGGAUUCCUUAUGGGAGGCUGCCUCCUGUAUCCUCCAGGUUGAUACGGAUGCUAGGGUUUAGCUGGGCACACGUUCUGAUUUUCAAGUGAGCUGUAUGAAGAAGCCAAAAGACCAAUAGACACAUCUAUUGAACACAAAGAAUUUGUAUAACAAGCUACACCAGUGUGGGAUUGAAAUAGCCGUUGUCAGUUACAGUUCAAAAGAUAUGUAUAUUAA